GUCUCCCAUAAUUUGGAAAUCUAUAUGAGAACAGUAAGUUCCCAAUACAAUAGUGUCAAGCUCAUUUCUGUUAAAGACCCAGGAAAUGAAUUCAGAGUGUGAUAUUGUGACCUAAUAAGAAAAAUACAGCCUUUCUGAUCCGCCAUCUGCACCAAGAUGCAGAUUUUCAUAAAAACCCUUAUGGGGAUGACCAUCACUCUCGAGGUGGGACCCUUGGAUACGAUAGAAAAUGUGAAGGCCAAGAUCCAGGAUAAGGAAGGAAUUCUUCUGAUCAGCAAAGACUCAUUUGUGCUGGCAAACAACUGGAAGAUGGCCGUGCUUGUCUGACUACAACAUUCAAAAGGAGUCCACUCUUCAUCACAUCUCGCGGUGGUGCUGUUAGGAAGAAGGAAGAAGUCUUACACCACUCCCAAGAAGGAUAAGCAUAAGAGAAAGAAGGUUAUGCUGGCUGUCCUGAAAUACUAUAAGGUGGCUGAGAAUGGCAAAAUUAGUCCCUUUCGUCGAGAGUGUCCUUCAGAUGAGUGUGGUGCUGGAGUUUUUAUGGCCAGCCACUUUGAUAGACAUUAUUGUGGCAAAUGUUGUCUUACUUACUGCUUCAACAAACCAGAAGACAAGUAAUUGUGUAUGAGUUAAUGAAAGACAUGAACUAAAAGAA